rnacentral:rRNA from 1 species
AAUUGACGGGGACCCGCACAAGCAGCGGAGCAUGUGGUUUAAUUCGAAGCAACGCGAAAAACCUUACCAAGACUUGACAUCCUCUGACGGAUACAGAAAUGUAAACAUCUUUUCGGAGACAGGGAGACAGGUGGUGCAUGGUUGUCGUCAGCUCGUGUCGUGAGAUGUUGGGUUAAGUCCCGCAACGAGCGCAACCCUUAUGAACAGUUGCCAAUAUUAAGUUAGGAACUCUGUUCAGACUGCCGUGGACAACACGGAGGAAGGUGGGGAUGACGUCAAAUCAUCAUGCCCCUUACGUCUUGGGCUACACACGUGCUACAAUGGCUAUUACAAAGAGGAGCGAGGCGGCAACGUCAAGCAAAUCUCAAAAAGAUAGUCUCAGUUCGGAUUGUGGGCUGCAACCCGCCCACAUGAAGUUGGAGUUGCUAGUAAUCCCGAAUCAGCAUGUCGGGGUGAAUGCGUUCCCGGGUCUUGUACACACCGCCCGUCACGCCAUGGGAGUUGGGAGUACCCGAAGUCAGUGACCUAACCCGAGAGGGGAGGAGCUGCCGAAGGUAAGACCGAUGACUGGGGUGAAGUCGUAACAAGGUAGCCGUAUCGGAAGGUGCGGCUGGAUCACCUCCUUU